CGUGAGGGGACUUUUCCUCGCCACGAGGCGACGACGACGACCGGAGAGCGAAGCCCGGCCCUAUCGGGGGACCGAACGCCACAGGAUGACACAGGCAGGUUCAGGUUGAGUCCCAAGACUGGGCAGCAAGCAGGGCAUGAGAGAAAUGGGGGUCAGAAGAAAAUAAUUUUUCAGAGGGAGCUUCAUGUGCACUGAGUCAAAAAUGAAGCAACAUUCCCAAAGUCGUGCUGAUGGGCUUGCCCCUCCUUGGGUGGCUGGAUAUGCCUGCAGUAGUCUCAGCAACCUUUGUGUCAAUGUGGCUGUAACACUGAGGAGUAUGACUCGCUAUAGAGAAGACAAAAUAAAAUGCAACAAAAUAAUAAGCC